rnacentral:rRNA from 1 species
UACGUAGGGGGCUAGCGUUGUCCGGAUUUAUUGGGCGUAAAGAGCUCGUAGGCGGUUCGGUAAGUCGGAUGUGAAAUCUCCAGGCUCAACCUGGAGGGGUCAUUCGAUACUGCCGUGACUAGAGUUCGGUAGAGGAGUGUGGAAUUCCUGGUGUAGCAGUGAAAUGCGUAGAUAUCAGGAGGAACACCGAUGGCGAAGGCAGGUCUCUGGGCUGACACUGACGCUGAUGUGCGAAAGCUAGGGGAGCAAACGGG